rnacentral:rRNA from 1 species
AGCAGCCGCGGUAAUUCCAGCUCCAAUAGCGUAUAUUAAAGUUGUUGCAGUUAAAAAGCUCGUAGUUGAAUUUCGGGGUCAGUAGGUUGGUCGUGCCACCGGUACGUACUGGUCUCACUGAUUCCUCCUUCCUGAUGAGCUGUAAUGCCAUUAAUUUGGUGUUGCAGGGAAUCUGGACUGUUACUUUGAAAAAUUAGAGUGUUUAAAGCAGGCUAACGCUUGAAUACAUUAGCAUGGAAUAAUGAAAUAGGACGUUCGAUCCUAUUUUGUUGGUUUCUAGGAUUGACGUAAUGAUUAAUAGGGAUAGUUGGGGGCAUUAGUAUUCAAUUGUCAGAGGUGAAAUUCUUGGAUUUAUUGAAGACUAACUACUGCGAAAGCAUUUGCCAAGGAUGUUUUCAUUAAUCAAGAACGAAAGUUAGGGGAUCGAAGACGAUCAGAUACCGUCGUAGUCUUAACCAUAAACUAUGCCGACUAGGGAUCGGAUGAUGUUAAUUUUUUAAUGUACUCA